rnacentral:lncRNA from 1 species
UCUCGUACCGAACAAUCCACUACAUGAUUAUUAUGUAGAUCAAAACACAUUUGAGGUGACCCCAUUUCCAACAAAUUUGCAGCUGCCAACUUCUAACAUCAAACAGUAAUACAAGUGCACUGUCCAUGAUCUUUUUUUCCUGAACCAACACUGAAAAAAAAAACACUUUUAGAGUGAGACAAUUUCCCAAAGAUUUAAUUUUUUAUUUUUUUUACAGUUACAAAAAUUUACCUGUUAUCUCACCGACAAUGUCAUCUCUCUCUUGAGAGAAAAGAGAAACAGGUGUCCACCAUUAAAAGAAUAAUAAGAAAUUAGUACUAACUUAGAUGGAUUCUUG